CUAUGUUGGCCGGGCGACGGUUGUCCCGGUUUAAGCGUGUAGGCUGGUUUUCCAGGCAAAUCCGGAAAACCAAGGCUGAGGCGUGAUGACGAGGCACUACGGUGCUGAAGUGACAAAUGCCCUGCUUCCAGGAAAAGCCUCUAAGCAUCAGGUAACAUCAAAUCGUACCCCAAACCGACACAGGUGGUCAGGUAGAGAAUACCAAGGCGCUUGAGAGAACUCGGGUGAAGGAACUAGGCAAAAUGGUGCCGUAACUUCGGGAGAAGGCACGCUGAUAUGUAGGUGAAGCGACUUGCUCGUGGAGCUGAAAUCAGUCGAAGAUACCAGCUGGCUGCAACUGUUUAUUAAAAACACAGCACUGUGCAAACACGAAAGUGGACGUAUACGGUGUGACGCCUGCCCGGUGCCGGAAGGUUAAUUGAUGGGGUUAGCGGUAACGCGAAGCUCUUGAUCGAAGCCCCGGUAAACGGCGGCCGUAACUAUAACGGUCCUAAGGUAGCGAAAUUCCUUGUCGGGUAAGUUCCGACCUGCACGAAUGGCGUAAUGAUGGCCAGGCUGUCUCCGCCCGAGACUCAGUGAAAUUGAACUCGCUGUGAAGAUGCAGUGUACCCGCGGCAAGACGGAAAGACCCCGUGAACCUUUACUAUAGCUUGACACUGAACAUUGAGCCUUGAUGUGUAGGAUAGGUGGGAGGCUUUGAAGUGUGGACGCCAGUCUGCAUGGAGCCGACCUUGAAAUACCACCCUUUAAUGUUUGAUGUUCUAACGUUGGCCCGUAAUCCGGGUUGCGGACAGUGUCUGGUGGGUAGUUUGACUGGGGCGGUCUCCUCCUAAAGAGUAACGGAGGAGCACGAAGGUUGGCUAAUCCUGGUCGGACAUCAGGAGGUUAGUGCAAUGGCAUAAGCCAGCUUGACUGCGAGCGUGACGGCGCGAGCAGGUGCGAAAGCAGGUCAUAGUGAUCCGGUGGUUCUGAAUGGAAGGGCCAUCGCUCAACGGAUAAAAGGUACUCCGGGGAUAACAGGCUGAUACCGCCCAAGAGUUCAUAUCGACGGCGGUGUUUGGCACCUCGAUGUCGGCUCAUCACAUCCUGGGGCUGAAGUAGGUCCCAAGGGUAUGGCUGUUCGCCAUUUAAAGUGGUACGCGAGCUGGGUUUAGAACGUCGUGAGACAGUUCGGUCCCUAUCUGCCGUGGGCGCUGGAGAACUGAGGGGGGCUGCUCCUAGUACGAGAGGACCGGAGUGGACGCAUCACUGGUGUUCGGGUUGUCAUGCCAAUGGCACUGCCCGGUAGCUAAAUGCGGAAGAGAUAAGUGCUGAAAGCAUCUAAGCACGAAACUUGCCCCGAGAUGAGUUCUCCCUGAGACUUUAAGUCUCCUGAAGGAACGUUGAAGACGACGACGUUGAUAGGCCGGGUGUGUAAGCGCAGCGAUGCGUUGAGCUAACCGGUACUAAUGAACCGUGAGGCUUAACCUU
rnacentral:rRNA from 1 species